rnacentral:rRNA from 1 species
GACAGGGGUCUCGAGCGUUACUCGGAAUCACUGGGCUUAAAGGGUGCGUAGGCGGGCCUGUAAGUGUCCUGUGAAAUCCCCCGGCUCAACCGGGGAACUGCGGGGCAUACUGCGGGUCUUGAGGAGGGUAGGCGCCGAGGGAACAGUAGGUGGAGCGGUGAAAUGCGUAGAUAUCUACUGGAACGCCGAUGGUGAAGACGCUCGGCUGGGCCUUUCCUGACGCUGAGGCACGAAAGCGUGGGGAGCAAACAGG